AACCCGGCUGUUGCUGGGGUGAGCGAAGGCGACGUGGCAGCGCGGACGCUGCUGGGUGCCUGGGCGCCGCUGAGGCGGACAGGGGGCGGCUCUUGAGCGGCGCCGGGGAGACGGGACGGGCGGAGAAGGUGGCCACGCUCGCACAAACGUUGCGAGUAUUACUUGAGCCCUCCUUCCGCGCUGGACUGAAAUAAAAGCUUUACCGGAAUGUCCAUUUAAUCCACGGUGCAGCCUUAUGAAAUAAAUCUUAUCUCCUUUUUACGGAUGGGCCGAAGGCUGGCCUCGAUAGCCUGCGCGCUUAACUGUUAUGCUGUGUACCCUCCCGAGCUCUGUUUCAUGGCACCGCUCGCUCAUUAUUGGCAAGAACAUUCCAUUCCAGGAGGAGAGAACUGGGGAUGCAGAAGGCACAGUGGCACGAAGCGGCAUUCUGUGGAGGAACACAGGGCUUUGGUAGGCUGAAGGAAAGUUAGACUGGGGUUAGAAUGUGAAGGGACGAAGACACGAAUAUUUAUUGAACACCUACUAGGGAGUGCCUACCUGCCAUUCUGGGGGGUUGGACUCCUAGAUGAGGACUUCCUUGCUCCCUUCCCAUCACCAUAUCUCUCUCUUCUGGACGGAAAAGAUUCCUCUCCUCUGUAGCACCUCAUUUAUAAUACUUUUUUUUUUGAGACGGAGUCUCACUCUGUCGCCCAGGCUGGAGUGCAGUGGCGCGAUCUCGGCUCACUGCAAGCUCUGCCUCCUGGGUUCACGCCAUUCUCCUGCCUCAGCCUCCCAAGUAGCUGGGACUACAGGCGCCCGCCACCACGCCAAGCUAAUUUUUUUUGUAUUUUUGGUAGAGACGGGGUUUCACCGUGUUAGCCAGGAUGGUCUCGAUCUCCUGACCUCUUGAUCCGCCCACCUCGGCCUCCCAAAGUGUUGGGAUUACAGGCGUGAGCCACCGCCCCCCGCCAUUUAUAACACUUAUUACCGUCUUGCUUUCGUUAUUGGAGUUACUUGUGUGUGUAGACCCGUCUCUGCUAGACUGUGAGCUCCUUCAGACCCCAGACUAUUCUAUUCUUAUCACACUAGGUACUCUAACGUGUUGAGUGCCAGGAAAGCCAUCAGCUCGCAUACCGUGAAUAGUGCCCACUCGGCAUAACGGCAAUGGGUGAUAGGAAUAGAUGAGAUGGGAAACAGAGAAACCCGGAUUAGAGCCCCAAUUCUGUGUGACUAAAAGGUCAAGGUCUUGGUGUUCUCAUCCCUAAACAAGAAUUAUUGAAGUAUGUGUUCUUUUAGCUCCCUUCCAGCCCCUGGAUGACUCAGUUCUGAAUAGCUACCCUUCCAACUCAUCUCCACCUCCUUUUGAUUCCCUCAUUGCUUCUCCUCCGCUCCUCUUCUUGUGUUAUGAAAAUACCUCAACACUGAGCUCAGCUCUUCCCAAAGGCAGCCAGAGAGGGACAAUCUUAGGAGGCUGCCAGAGUCAUGUUCAUCCCAGACCAGGGCUCAUUCCAGAAACUAACUAGCUAGGUGGCUAGGGUCAGACAUGGAGAGAAAUGGCAGAAGAAGGCAUUUCCAAACUGUUACUGAUGGUUGGUGAUUCCACUCGGGAUUUCCUCACCUUUAAGUUCCAGAUGUGGGGCUCACCUUUUUGGCGAAUUCUCCAUCCAUUGGCAUGCUCAGGACCCAGUUGGUAAUUUGUGUUUGGUGUCUACAUGUAUUUGAAUAAACAACUUUAUUGCCAUAUAACCGACAUACAAUAAACCAUAUAUAUUUAAGGUGUACAAUUUAUUCCUUUCUUUUUUUAAUUAGAGACGAAGUCUCACUGUGUUGCCCAGGCUAGUCUCAAACUCCUGAGCUCAAGCAACCCUCCCACCUCAGCCUCCCAAAGUUCGAGGAUUACAGGUAUGAGCCACUGCACCUAGCCAAGGUAUACAAUUUGAUAAGCUACUUAUAUACCUAUGAAAAUGAAAAUGUCACCACACCCAAGAUAGUGACCAUAUCAUCAUCAUCCCUAAAAAUUUCCUCAUGCUCCUUUAUAAUCCCUCUCUCUCACUCUUUCAUCCCUAGGAACCACUAAUCUGCUUUUUGAAACUUUUUUUUUUGAGACAGAGUCUCACUCUGUCGCCCAGGCUGGAGAGCAAUGGGGCAAUCUUGGCUCACUACAACCUCCACCUCCCGGGUUGAAGGGAUUCUCCUGCCUCAGUUUCCCAAGUAGCUGGGAUUAUAGA
rnacentral:lncRNA from 1 species